AGUGAACGCUGGCGGUAGGCCUAACACAUGCAAGUCGAACGGCAGCACAGUAAGAGCUUGCUCUUACGGGUGGCGAGUGGCGGACGGGUGAGGAAUACAUCGGAAUCUACUUUUUCGUGGGGGAUAACGUAGGGAAACUUACGCUAAUACCGCAUACGACCUACGGGUGAAAGCAGGGGAUCUUCGGACCUUGCGCGAUUGAAUGAGCCGAUGUCGGAUUAGCUAGUUGGCGGGGUAAAGGCCCACCAAGGCGACGAUCCGUAGCUGGUCUGAGAGGAUGAUCAGCCACACUGGAACUGAGACACGGUCCAGACUCCUACGGGAGGCAGCAGUGGGGAAUAUUGGACAAUGGGCGCAAGCCUGAUCCAGCCAUACCCGUGGGUGAAGAAGGCCUUCGGGUUGUAAAGCCCUUUUGUUGGGAAAGAAAAGCAGCAGGUUAAUACCCCGCUGUUCUGACGGUACCCAAAGAAUAAGCACCGGCUAACUUCGUG
rnacentral:rRNA from 1 species